UACAGAGGGUGCAAGCGUUAAUCGGAAUUACUGGGCGUAAAGCGCGCGUAGGUGGUCUGUUAAGUUGGACGUGAAAUCCCCGGGCUUAACCUGGGAGCUGCAUUUGAUACGUGUAGACUAGAGUGUGAGAGAGGGUUGUGGAAUUCCCAGUGUAGAGGUGAAAUUCGUAGAUAUUGGGAAGAACACCGGUGGCGAAGGCGGCAACCUGGCUCAUUACUGACGCUGAGGCGCGAAAGCGUGGGGAGCAAACAGGAUUAGAUACCCUGGUAGUCCACGCCGUAAACGAUGUCAACUAGCCGUUGGAAUCUUGAGAUUUUAGUGGCGCAGCUAACGCAUUAAGUUGACCGCCUGGGGAGUACGGCCGCAAGGUUAAA
rnacentral:rRNA from 1 species